GGAGGCCUAGGCUGUUACUCCUGAUUGAUGGGCAGGCAAAAAGAAGGAUUGUGCUUGAAGGGAAUGAUAAGGUGACAUUGAAAGAGCCCAUGGGCUCUUUAAUCAGAUGGUCAAUGAACAAGAUGUUGCCAAAUGCAAUCACCCUCAGUACUUUAGUUGAUGGAACGUGCAAAGAGGGUGUUAGAAAUAAGCCACGGCCGGACGGAACAACGGUUUACAACAGAGUGACUCUGGAUAUUUGAAUGAAGAACUCCAAUGCGCGUAUUCAAAGCUAUGUAGAUGUUGUAGUUGCAGAAGCCGGAUCAACAUCAUGACAAUGACAUUCUGGAAAUUGUUGGACUAGUCACAAUUGCAUGGUAAAUUUGAUGUGGUUUAGCUGAAGCUGAACGGGUUGGAUGAUGGCAGCUUUGUUGUGUGGAAGAACAAAUCAGAAAAAGCUAAU